rnacentral:lncRNA from 1 species
CCGGCUGAAAACUAGAAAUGCCUCCUGCGUUAUAUGUCUAUGUCCAUAUCUCUAUGCCUAUACUUAUAACUGUAUCUACAUAUCUAGAAUAUUAGCUUCAUGAGAGAAGGGAUCUUGUCUGUCUUAUUCACCACUGAAACUCCAGCACCUAGAAGAGUGUGAAAGGACUAUGAAGUGAUGGACAAAUUGCUCUGCACACUGGAUUUAAUUUAGUCAUGGGCUAGAUGAGGUGGAGGCCACACCCAUCACUUAAAACUUCAUUCCUCCAAGUGGUUCAACGGCUCUCCACUCUCAUUCAUUAUGUUUUGCUUUAUUUUUCAACUGGGCAUCAAUUCUUUAAGGAUAAAGGAGAAUAACUGUUACGGUUCCAGGGUAAAAUUCGUUUAAAAAUAAUUUACUGAAUGGGGACAGAAGUGAGGGAAGAGCUACUUCAGAGCGAAGACAAAAUUCCAGAUAAACUUGAUAUCUCUUAGGCAAUUCAAUGCUUCAAUUCAACAUUUUUUGAAUGCCUGUUAAGUGAUGGGGAUUUUUAGGCUGCUUACUUUUAAAACAGUUUAUGAUGAGGAUUUUUAGGCUGGUUACUUUUAAAACUAC